AUUGAACGCUGGCGGCAGGCCUAACACAUGCAAGUCGGACGGUAGCACAGAGGAGCUUGCUCCUCGGGUGACGAGUGGCGGACGGGUGAGUAAUGUCUGGGGAUCUGCCCGAUAGAGGGGGAUAACCACUGGAAACGGUGGCUAAUACCGCAUAACGUCGCAAGACCAAAGAGGGGGACCUUCGGGCCUCUCACUAUCGGAUGAACCCAGAUGGGAAUAGCUAGUAGGCGGGGUAACGGCCCACCUAGGCGACGAUCCCUAGCUGGUCUGAGAGGAUGACCAGCCAAACGGGAACUGAGACACGGUCCAGACUCCGACGGGGGGCAGCAGUGGGGAAUAUUGCACAAGGGGCGCAAGCCUGAUGCAGCCAUGCCGCGUGUAUGAAGAAGGCAUUCGGGUUGUAAAGUACUUUCAGCGGGGAGGAAGGCGAUGUGGUUAAUAACCGCAUUGAUUGACGUUACCCGCAGAAGAAGCACCGGCUAACUCCGUGCCAGCAGCCGCCGUAA
rnacentral:rRNA from 1 species